rnacentral:rRNA from 1 species
AUUGAACGCUGGCGGCAGGCUUAACACAUGCAAGUCGAGCGGGGGGAGGUAGCUUGCUACCUAACCUAGCGGCGGACGGGUGAGUAAUGCUUAGGAAUCUGCCUAUUAGUGGGGGACAACAUUUCGAAAGGGAUGCUAAUACCGCAUGCGCCCUAAGGGGGAAAGCAGGGGAUCUUCGGACCUUGCGCUAAUAGAUGAGCCUAAGUCGGAUUAGCUAGUUGGUGGGGUAAAGGCCUACCAAGGCGACGAUCUGUAGCGGGUCUGAGAGGAUGAUCCGCCACACUGGGACUGGGACGCGGCCCAGACUCCUACGGGAGGCAGCAGUGGGGAAUAUUGGACAAUGGGGGGAACCCUGAUCCAGCCAUGCCGCGUGUGUGAAGAAGGCCUUUUGGUUGUAAAGCACUUUAAGCGAGGAGGAGGCUACCGAGAUUAAUACUCUUGGAUAGUGGACGUUACUCGCAGAAUAAGCACCGGCUAACUCUGUGCCAGCCGCCGCGGUAAAAC